CGUCAAUCAACUUGCUUAUAUUAAUGAGGUGUAGCGUCAAUCAACUUGCUUAUAUUAAUGAGGUGUAGCGUCAAUCAACUUGCUUAUAUUAAUGAGGUGUAGCGUCAAUCAACUUGCUUAUAUUAAUGAGGUGUAGCGUCAAUCAACUUGCUUAUAUUAAUGAGGUGUAGCGUCAAUCAACUUGCUUAUAUUAAUGAGGUGUAGCGUCAAUCAACUUGCUUAUAUUAAUGAGGUGUAGCGUCAAUCAACUUGCUUAUAUUAAUGAGGUGGUAUUCAGUUGUAUGUCACUAGACUGUCGGUCUGAUAUCAACAUCAGAAAACUAACUGAAAUUCU